rnacentral:lncRNA from 1 species
AUUGAUAAAGGGAAAGGCAAAGCCAUGGAUAAAGGAAAAGGAAAGGCAUCUGGAUAUACCGGUCGUCGGAAAUCUGGAGGUGUUGAGAUUAAAGAACCGGGUUCUGAGCCUCCGCGUCUUAGUCUGCAGGAUGUUCCGUCUGCUCGAAGGUCAAUGUACUCGUCGAAACAUUGUAUUGGUGAGCGCGAUGUUGGCGUCGCCAGUAUCAUUGACUGUGUGCCGGGAUUUCAGGAUUUAUUUG